CACGAAGGGCUAUAAAUACCAUCAUUUUUAAGGCAUCACGAAAACCCUAAUUUCUAACAUUAUACUCACUCCAAGUACACAUAUAUACCUCAUCUUAUCACAUCAUUUCUCAUAAACUCAUUUCCUUUUUCAUCUUCUUCUCCCCACCAUGUUCUGCAUAAUUGAUUCUCCAAUCUUAUUGUUACAAAGCCUAUUAAUAAUAGAAAUGGUAAGAAUUCUUCUAUUUUUUUAACCAUCUACGAAGCUUAUUUAAUCAGGUUCCUUUUGCCAUGUGAACAAUCAGAAACAAAUCGAAAAACAUGAAUACUAAUUUCUUUUAUUGUUGUUUCAAUGGCUGGAGAUCGUGAAUUGCAUGUGGAGAACAAUUGAGUUUUUUUUAUUUAUACUCAUCAAAGUACAGUUUUAUUAACUGACCAUAAAAUCCUCACUAUUGGAGGAUUAUGUUACCGAUCCCUAAAAGAACAAAAUCAAUUGAAGCAUUCAUUGUAACAUUCAACAAGAAUUCCCAAAUGAGUUUAUAAGAAUUGAUCUAACAAUGUGAAGUACAUAUGUGACUUUUUAAUUUCAACCAUUUCAAUAAAAACUUAGCUGAAUAUUUAAAUAAGAUAUUUUAUAAAAAUGUUGUCUUCUUUAGUAAGUUCAUUAUACAAAAUUAUCUAAGCAAUUUCACCCAUUUCAAUGUUGUCUUUUUAAUUUCACUCAUGUAAUUUUGUUAGGUCUCAACAAUUUUAACCUAAUUUUCUCCCGCUCAUUUGUUUUAUUAGGUUUGACAAUAUUUUGUACACUUUCUUUUUUAAGGAAAUAUUAUGUACACUUAUUCAAUACUAAAAAAAAUGGAUUGCACCAAUUUCAUUCCUAUCCUCUUGCCUUUUUUUUUUUUUUUUGCUAUCCUCUUGCCUUCUUUUUUUUUUGACAAUAUUUUGUACACAAUACUAGAAAAAUUCAUCGCAUUAAUUUUAUACCUUUUUUUUUUUUACAAUAUUUUGUACACUUUUUUUUAACCAAUUUCAUGCCUUUAUUUCAUUCCUAUCAUGUUGACUUUUUUUUUGACAAUAUUUUCUACACCUUUUCAAUACGUUUACAAACAGAAUACCUUAAUUUUCUUGAAAACUCGGCUACUCUAAUUUCCAUGUAAACUUGGUUAUAUAUACCAAGCCCUAAACAUGUUUCUCUCAACAAAAAAAAUCCCAUAAACCGUGUAAAAAUUUCACACACAACACAAAAAUCAUAUAUUUUGAUAUUUAGAGUUUUGUAAAUGGAAAGACAUGACAUUACAACUUAUUUUUUUCACUGUUACCAAUUAUAUAUUGUAUUUUAUUAUUCGUAUGUCAAUCUCUUUACAAUAAAUCCGAGCGGAGUACGGGUCAAAAAUCUAGUUUACUUUAACAGUCAUUCUCUUAUUUGAUGAAAUUGAUGUAAAUCUCAUAAUUUGAAAAUGAAUUGCACGUAAAGUUCAGAACUCACUUGAAUUUCAUUCAACAAUAAAGUCGGUAUUAAUUAAAUUAAGUGUUGAAACUCAAAAUUAACCUAUCUAAAAACAAUUUUUCUCACAUUUGAAUUUAUGAAAUAGGCUCUUUUUCUAUAUAUAAGUUCUUAUAUAUAGCUCUUCUAGGAACAAUAAGUAAUCGAAUGGUUGAAAAAAAAAAAAUGUAACUUUCUUUUAUUUUACUAUAAGCAAAAAAAGAAUACAAUCCCUUUUCAAUUUUAUCAUUAUCCAAUAGUUCCAAACUUGUUUUCCUAUAUCAAAACUAAAAGGUUUGUCUACAAAUUUUUUAAAUCACUUUAAAAAUGAUUCAACCCACGUAGCAUAAUCCACUUAUUGUUGAUAUUUAUUUCACUGCACCAAAAAUCUUAUAUUGCUUUGAAAUUAAAGCUAAGAGUUCAUUUGAUUAGUUAAAAACAGAGGACAAGAUUGGACAAAUUUUUUGUACAUUGUUGGAUUUGAGAAAUUGUUCAUGAAAUUGGAGAAAAUAUGUAGACAAAAACAUGAAAUCUUGUCUCUCAUUAAACUAUGGGAUAACUUUUUAUCCAAAAUACAAACUAUCAAAAAUACCAAAAGUACCUUUCUAAAAAAAAUAUAUACCAAAAUAUCUUUUUUAUUUUCCAACAUAAAAAAACAUUAUCUCUAUAUCUCUCUAGCAUAGUUCAAUCUUUAUUGUUUUGUCACGUGUUAGUUAUAUCAAAUACUUACUAUUUUGCAAAUCAAACGUACUCUAAGAGUAAUUUCUAAAAAUCUACUUCCCUCAAUUCACUAGGAUGCCAUAAUCAAAGAUAAUAUCGUAAUGACCGCAUUUAAACCGAGAUAAUACCGUAAAAAAAGAUGCAAAUCGGGCAAUACCUCGAAAACAAUGGUGUAGCAAACUUGAGAUCGGAACAUCAAAACAUUGGUGUGCCAUGUAAGGAGGCUUAAGCGACACACAAGGCUGUAGCCU
rnacentral:lncRNA from 1 species